GGUAGGACUACCCGCUGAACUUAAGCAUAUCAAUAAGCGGAGGAAAGGGC
rnacentral:rRNA from 1 species